rnacentral:rRNA from 1 species
UACGGAGGAUCCAAGCGUUAUCCGGAUUCAUUGGGCUUAAAGGGUGCGUAGGCGGAAUGAUAAGUCAGUGGUGAAAGCCUGUUGCUUAACAACAGAACUGCCAUUGAUACUGUCAAUCUUGAGUACAUUUGAUGUGGGCGGAAUGUGUCAUGUAGCGGUGAAAUGCUUAGAUAUGACACAGAACACCGAUUGCGAAGGCAGCUCACAAAACUGUAACUGACGCUGAGGCACGAAAGCGUGGGUAUCAAACAGG